rnacentral:lncRNA from 1 species
AUCACAUUAAUCUUUAAAACUUCACAACAAUGCUUUGAGCCUGGUGCUUUUAUUAUUCCCAUUGUACAGUUAAUAAAACAGGUUUACGUAGUUAGUGGCUGAGCUGGGUUGCAGACUCAGGCACGUCUGAAUCCGGAGCUGGGGUUCUUACCCACUCCAGUGACUGCCUCUCAGAAAAGAACAGGGCAAUGUCCAUUCUCCUUUUAUUUUCUUUAAGCACCUGAUCAUUCUAAAAGCAUGUGUUCCUCCGUGUGUGUGAGUUGUGUACACGUGUGUGUGUGUUCCUUUCUUUUCUCGGACUCCAGGCUCAUGACUGCUUAUUUGCAUGGUGUUUUGGUGUCAAAGGAGUGUUGAAUGUGUUCUCCACACACCCAGCUUUAUUCCACUCUAGGAGUUUAACUUCUUCAGCAUUGUUAUGAGGUCCCCGGUGACCUCAGUUUCUCCUCUCCGCGUCAUCCAGGACUUCACCUGAAGCUUGAGCUACACGUAAGACUUCAUCUACCUUGCACAGGGCAAUGGAGAGAGAUUCCUGCAAGUAGACUGACAGCUGCAUGUUUGCAGGAAAGUUAAAUAUUUUGACAGCGCAGAAGACUGCUGCAUCUGGAGGGUUCUGGGUCCAGCUAUAACCAGACUUGCCUGUCCUAAACAAAUGGAUUGACUGCUUCCGGCAUCCUCACUUUACUUCUGCAUGGUGACCAACAUCCGGAGCUUAAUUACCUGACAGCCAGGAGAUAACAAAAAUGUCAUGCCUGAGUCCCUGAUAGCAACCCCAGAGGAGCUCCAGGUUUGAGGCAGCGCUGGCAGGACGUGGUCUAUCUGCCAUCUGAAGCCCUUCAUUGCCCGCCUGGCUGUGAAUCUCACCUCCUCUGUAGUGGAAAACAGGCUGAACAGAACUGGCAGGCAGGUAAGGGACAGCAAACCUUGCAGGGAGGGCCUAGUGCUGAAGCUAAGCCAGCCCUUUGAGUUCAAGCUCAAAGACAUGUGAUGCCAGCUUUGCAGGGGAGCUAAGAUUCUUCCGAGAAAAAGCAGAAUGAGAGAGAGAUAUGCAGCUGCAGUGGAGGACUUGGAAGAGAACAACGCCAGGUCCUGGAUCCUGCAAGAAUCUCCUCUGGAAAAGCAGGGGAGAGAAAAGCAAGGAAGGAAGCAGGGUCACCGCAAGUGUGGGAUUUGUCUUAUUAAAAUCUGAUACUGUGUGGCAGUUUGCUUCACUCUUGGUAUAAAAUGUCUGAGCUCCAUGUUAAAGUAAAUGUAAGUAAUAUAAAUCUGCCUUUCCUGAGGUGAAAAUAGAUCCAUAUUAUUUAAAAUAUGAACUGAGAUAGAUGACAGUUACAAACAUUAUACUUGUUCUUAUUAUAAUUCUUACUAAGCUCAAGGAAUAAAAACUGGGAUGAUGAAAAAGAAGUUCUGAAUGUAAAAAUUGGUGUUUUGGAUAAAAUACAAACCAACCCAGAAAUGAUGAAAAAAA